UGCCAGCCGCCGCGGUAAUACGGAGGGUGCAAGCGUUGUUCGGAAUUAUUGGGCGUAAAGCGCGUGUAGGCGGUUCGUUAAGUCUGAUGUGAAAGCCCGGGGCUCAACCCCGGAAGUGCAUUGGAAACUGGCGAACUUGAGUACGGGAGAGGAAAGUGGAAUUCCGAGUGUAGGGGUGAAAUCCGUAGAUAUCUGGAGGAACAUCGGUGGCGAAAGCGGCUUUCUGGCACGAUACUGACGCUGAGGCUCGAAAGCGUGGGGAGCGAACAGGAUUAGAUA
rnacentral:rRNA from 1 species